GCAGUCGCACGAGAACGCUUCAGCUUGCUGAAGUAAGUAAAGUGGCGCACGGGUGUAGUAACGCGUGGGUAAUCUACCCUCAAAUUGGGGAUAACCCGCCGAAAGGCGGGCUAAUACCGAAUGAUAUCUUGAAAACUUAUGUUUUCAGGAUCAAAGAUGGCCUCUACAUGUAAGCUAUUGUUUGGGGAUGAGCCCGCGUACCAUUAGCUUGUUGGUAGGGUAAUGGCCUACCAAGGCUGCGAUGGUUAGCUGGUCUGAGAGGAUGAUCAGCCACACUGGAACUGACACACGGUCCAGACUCCUACGGGAGGCAGCAGUGAGGAAUUUUGCGCAAUGGGGGAAACCCUGACGCAGCAACGCCGCGUGAGUGAUGAAGGCUUUCGGGUCGUAAAGCUCUGUCAAGUGGGAAGAACUCAUAUGGUGUUAAUAUCGCCAUGUGCUGACGGUACCACUGAAGGAAGCACCGGCUAACUCCGUGCCAGCAGCCGCGGUAAUACGGGGGGUGCGAGCGUUAUUCGGAAUUACUGGGCGUAAAGAGCGCGUAGGCGGUCUUUUAAGUCAGGUGUGAAAGCCCGGGGCUCAACCCCGGAAGUGCACUUGAAACUAAGAGACUUGAGUAUGGGAGAGGGAAGUGGAAUUCCUGGUGUAGCGGUGAAAUGCGUAGAUAUCAGGAGGAACAUCAGUGGCGAAGGCGACUUCCUGGACCAAUACUGACGCUGAGGCGCGAAGGCGUGGGGAGCAAACAGGAUUAGAUACCCUGGUAGUCCACGCAGUAAACGGUGAACACUAGGUGUAGCGGGUAUUGACCC
rnacentral:rRNA from 1 species